rnacentral:rRNA from 1 species
UAGGGAAUCUUCCACAAUGGACGCAAGUCUGAUGGAGCAACGCCGCGUGAGUGAAGAAGGUUUUCGGACCGUAAAGCUCUGUUGUUGGUGAAGAAGGAUAGAGGUAGUAACUGGCCUUUAUUUGACGGUAAUCAACCAGAAAGUCACGGCUAACUACGUGCCAGCAGCCGCGGUAAUACGUAGGUGGCAAGCGUUGUCCGGAUUUAUUGGGCGUAAAGCGAGCGCAGGCGGAAGAAUAAGUCUGAUGUGAAAGCCCUCGGCUUAACCGAGGAAUUGCAUCGGAAACUGUUUUUCUUGAGUGCAGAAGAGGAGAGUAGAACUCCAUGUGUAGCGGUGGAAUGCGUAGAUAUAUGGAAGAAUACCAGUGGCGAAGGCGGCUCUCUGGUCUGCAACUGACGCUGAGGCUCGAAAGCAUGGGUAGCGAACAGGAUUAGAUACCCUGGUAGUCCAUGCCGUAAACGAUGAGUGCUAAGUGUUAGGAGGCUUCCGCCUCUCAGUGCUGCAGCUAACGCAUUAAGCACUCCGCCUGGGGGAGUACGACCGCAAGGUUGAAAC